CAUAACCCAAGGAGGACCUAAUGUUCUCCACAGCCCCCACCAUGGUUAUCCGGUGAGAGCUAUUCUAAUACAUCUGGAGUGGACUUAAUGUCUUCAUCCCAGCCCCCACAAUGGACAGCUCUAAAUACAAAUACAAGGAUGAACAUGCCAUUGUCCACCCCCAAAAUUUGGGCCAUUGUUAAGCCUCAUUUAGCUAAAUUAAAAUAAAGUGACC